rnacentral:tRNA from 5 species
GGUGAGGUGGCAGAGAGGCUAUGCACGCGACUGCAGAUCGCGACCACGUCGGUUCAAAUCCGGCCCUCACCACCA